rnacentral:rRNA from 1 species
GAUGAACGCUAGCGGCAGGCUUAAUACAUGCAAGUCGAGGGACAGCACAGGUAGCAAUACUGGGUGGUAACCGGCAAACGGGUGCGGAACACGUGCACAACCUUCCUUUAAGUGGGGGAUAGCCCAGAGAAAUUUGGAUUAAUACCCCGUAAUAUAGUUGAAUGGCAUCAUUUGAUUAUUAUAGCUACGGCGCUUAAUGAUGGGUGUGCGGCUGAUUAGAUAGUUGGCGGGGUAACGGCCCACCAAGUCUACGAUCAGUAGCUGAUGUGAGAGCAUGAUCAGCCACACGGGCACUGAGACACGGGCCCGACUCCUACGGGAGGCAGCAGUAAGGAAUAUUGGUCAAUGAACGCAAGUCUGAACCAGCCAUGCCGCGUGAAGGAUUAAGGUCCUCUGGAUUGUAAACUUCUUUUAUUUGGGACGAAAAAGGGCCUUUCUAGGUCAACUGACGGUACCAGAUGAAUAAGCACCGGCUAACUCCGAGCCAGCCGCCGCCGUAACAC